AGUGUGUAAAGAGAGCUCAGUAGGCCUCUGUUAGACCCCAGGGAGGCUCAUAUGCUUGAGGGAUGGAAGGAAAAUCACCAGUAACUGCAAUGGAAGUUGACCCACUAAGCCCAAGAACACAAGGGAGGAAGAGGAAGGCCCCGUCUUCAAACCCGGUGCAAACACAAAAGAAUAAGGAAGUGUCAAAGAUCCCUACUCGUGGUCUGAGGACAAAAGCCUCCCCCAGAGCUCCCACCCUUUCUAGCAAAGCUAAGGAAAGGAGCCUGCCAACAAGUUCCAGCCAUUGCCAGCAUCUGAAGGGGAAACACAGUCAAGAUUAUCCACAGCAGAACCAGCCGAGUGUGGUGAAGUCCUCCCCCUCAUGUGAAGACAUGGUCAUCGAGUAACCUGAGUGAGGCCAGAGACCUUAGAACUAUCCUGCAGUCUCCACAGGUCAGGCCCCUGGGAAAUGGUCAACCUUGUAGACAGCAGCGAAUCUCAUCCCAGCUGGCACAUAAGUGUGAUGAAAAUGAAACCAACAACAGGAGAUGUCUGUGUGCCUCUUCUUUGAUGGUAUAAGGGCAGGAAGGGAAGAGGUGUGUGUGUCAGAAGGGAGAGAGGAAGGAACUGCGGGGCGGUGGUUCUGAGUGAUGGGUCCUCCGGGAGCCAGAUGUGGCGAUAUAAUCUCCUCUGGCCUGAUUCCUGGACACAAAUUUCUCCAUUAAAUUUUGUACCUGGGCAAAAAGAG